UUUUUUUAACUUUAAGUUUUUAAAAAAUUGUCUUUCCUUGAAGAAUUCAUGGAUCACUAGUGCCCACAAUGAGAAGACUAGACCUCCUUAUUUCAAAGCCUGCGACAAAUUGAAGCACUUAGCCCCAGCCGCCAGCGGAAGGAAGCCAUGUUGAAAAUGUUGGAAGAUUGUUACGUAACGUCCUUUUCUUCUCCCAACUGUUGCAUAUGGUAUAUGCCUUAGAAUCACAAUAGCCAUGCAUGCUUGAUCUCUGUUUGUGCAAAUUUCUACACGGAGAAUAUUCACGGGUUGAUUCUUUCGCCCUUCGUGUUUCCUUCUCUCUCAUCCUCGAUUCCUGUAAAAAAAUCGAGUAAAUAGACCACACCAGGGGGGGUGUUUGCCAAAGGCCCUCCGAUGCCUAAGUCAGUUCAAUUGAUCUUGAGAAAGAUACGACAAAGUAACUGAAAGGAUGGAGGCCUUCUCUCACGAGGAGAGCCAGGUGGCUGAAGCUGUGUGUGUUUUGGUGUGUGGCCGUGAAGGAGAAAGAGAGAGUAGCAUGAGAGAGAGAGAGAGAGGUUUUGCUAGGGUUUCAGAAUCUUACCAUGAGUGUGUUGCGUAGCCAUGUAUUUAUAGGCUCCUUACUUGGCUAGGGUUUGGAAAAUAAUCCCUCUUUAAUUAGAAUUAUUCUUGCCCAAAAAGAUGAUAUGAAUUAAUCAAAAGAGAUUUGCUAGAAAUUGGCUCCUUAAUUUAGGGAGAUAUUCC
rnacentral:lncRNA from 1 species